AAUCCCGUGAACCAUCGAGUCUUUGAACGCAAGUUGCGCCCGAACCCCUCGGGCCAAGGGCACGCCUGCCUGGGCGUCACGCAUCGCGUCCCCCCCCCCCCCCCCCCCCCGGGGGGGGGGGGGGAAAAAGGGCCCCCCGUGGCCUCCCGU
rnacentral:rRNA from 1 species